AGAUCUAGCUUUAUUUCCUGUGGCGCCAUUUUAGCACUGCGUUGUUGCUCUGUCGUCUUUGGUACGUCGUUACUUUUACGCCUAGAUUUUUGUUUUUGAAUUUUCUUUCUUUCUUUUUUUUUAAUGCUACGAUUUGAAGACGGAUUGAAAUAACGUCGAGGACUUUUUUUUUUGCAGAAGACCAUAGUUUACCGGACCAAUCAGGAAUCCCUAAUGGUAACCAGAAGAAGAGGAAGACUUGUGACUAAAGGCGUGGACGCCAUGUGCUCAAGUCCUGAAGAAUGUGACAAUGCCUUAAACUUCGAAUCUACAAGUGCAAGCAAACACUCGUCACCAGAAAGUGAUUCAAAUGACUGGGGAUUGGACGAACUCCUGACGUCUGAUUUCAGCUGGGCUUUAGAAGAUGAAAUGCUUUCUCCUUUCCAAGACAUUGGUUUGCAAGAUCUAGGUUUAAAUGCAGAAGACAAGACUGAUCAGGAAUCUGAUGUGAGCAUAUCCCGCAGAAGAGGUUCAAGUCGUAGACAGAAACUACAGGACUUCUCUGGGUGCAACAUUAAUAAGAAUGCCCUGGCAGCCAGACUGAACCGGCUGAAGAAGAAAGAGUAUUUAAAUGGCUUAGAGCAGCGUGUUGGAUCUCUUACAUCUGAAAACCGGCUUCUCAAGCAGGAAAACACCAGCCUAAACAAGAGAGUGGAAGAGCUUGAAAAUGAGACUAGGUACUUGAGAGCUGUGUUGGCCAAUGAAAGCAUGUUGGGGCAGCUGUUGUCUAGAUUGAGCGGUGUGAACGGCAUGAAAUUUUCUACGUCGCUUUUCCAGGAACCCAGCGAGAACGACCACGAUUAUGCCAUGCCAAGGAAGAAAGUGAAGGUGGAGGACAAGGAUACAGCAGGUGGUGUCUGUCUGCACGUGGACAAAGACCACGUCUCUGUGGAAUUCUGCACUAAAUGUGCCGAGAGUGCAAGCGCAUCGCUUAAAAUUUUUCUUCUAGGUGCUUGGUCUGCCAUGUGGGGUGACUGGAGCUCAGAGCAUCCAUGACUACCAGAACCUAUGGUAAGGAUCAAGAUGUUGAAGACUGCACAGAAAUGAGUUUCUCCUGAGAUGUGCUGCAGUGUUCUGACACUUCACGGCACAGUAUGAACUUGUAAAUAAGCUUUGCUGUAAUUGAAGCUAACUGAAGAUUUGUUUAAUUCAACACUUUGGAUCAUGCUUAUGACGCAUGCAGUAGUUGGCUCUUGUCAACAGUAUAAAGGGUUAAUUAGUUCUUGUUGUAUAUUGUUUUAAAAUGAUGUAAAUAGGUGACUUUUCACAAAGGGUAUUUGUUGGUAUACAGAUAGAAGUGUAAAUGGUAUGGCUGAAGAGCUACGUAACCAAUUCUGACAAUUCUUUUUGUUCAAAUGGAACCCUUUGUGAAAUGUCACUCCUUUCCUGAAGAACAUUUUUCAUGGAGCCCCUUAUUUUUCUUUAUGCUAAAGUGGAUUUGCUGUGGGGAAAACUGAAGAAACGGGACCAGCAUCUUGCAACAUGGCCUGGUAAAAUUAAAAAGGUAGUACAAGAAGCAGUGUAAGUUAAAGUUUUUACUGCUACUCCAUCGUGCUGCAUUUUGUUUGAUAUUAAAAAAAUGCACUUUUCUAGCAUCAGUGUAGCAGGAGUUAAAGCUCCUGUCCUUUUGUGCCUGCCAGCAAACCAUUGCAGCAGACAGUUUCUUCAUUCUCCUCAAGUGUUUUCCUCUCUUUCCUAAGUGGAUAAAGAGUGGUAAUAAAGUGGUAUUCGUGCAUUGUAAUGGGCCACAAUCCAUGAACACAUGCUGUAGGUGUGGGAGAUCUUGCUUACAAAGAACCUGGGAUGGUCCAGACAUAGGAAGAUGCUUUCGUGCUGAUUUAAUCUGAUUGCAGGGCAUGAAUCUGAGUGAAUUGUUAAUUUGUUUUUUGAAUUUGUUUUGAUGCAGCAUUGUCAAUCAAAAUUGGCUAAUUGUCUGAGGAUGAAAACUCAAAAUACAAUGUUCACAUGUGGUAAUAUUUUGUUCUGCACCCAAGUCUGCUUCACCUGUUUAGUAAGUGAAACCCACUGAGGGUGAACUAUAUAUAAGAUCAAAUUAAACCUGCAUAAAUGCUGUGUAUGUGAAUGAACUAAAUAGAUAUUCACUUUUGUACAGUGCAAGUGAUUUCCUCUUUGCCAUAAAAGUGACAAAACUGUGUUAAAACUGCAGUUUAAUAUUUUGCUAGAUGUUGCAUUUUUUGCAGGUGCUUGAGUAAUACUACAUUCUCAAACAGCAAUUUUAUUACUGCCAAUUGCUGUGCUGUUUAGUCACCAGUAGGGGUGUGUUACUGGAUGCUAUAACUCUCCUCGUGGGUUGGUAGGUGGCACAAUUAGCAUUCCAAUUAAAUUUUAUUAAUGCUAAAUGAACCAUUUUGCAUAGUAUGCUAUGCAUAUAAAACUCAUAUGCGUGUGCAUGUAUCUUAUGAGAUGGUAAAGCAGUAUGUGCUUUUUCCACAGAUUAUGUGCAAUCUACUGUCUUCACUCCCAUUGUAGUUGCUGCACCAAGUUGUUCCAAUUUUGCAUAAGGUUCUGUGUUGAUAGACACAGUCAUGUCUUGUAAGCAACACUCAAUCGUUUUGAAGGAAGUCGAUACAAAUAAUGGUUUCUGGAUUUCCUGUUGCUUUGAUACUGUAAGUACUGUAUGAGGGAGAGAAUUUACAGAUUGGUUUAGAAGGUACUUAGGAAGCUGAAUUAAAAAUUGUUUAAAAUUGCCUUGCUUGCUAAUGCAUAUACCACCAGUUUUAGAAUUUCGUUACAAGUCUCCCUGAAAACACCUACAGCAAAAUUCCCAAUAACAUUGUAAAGUGCAUGAUUGGGAAUUCACAGUGAUUGAGAGUACUCAGAUACACAAAGAAAAUGUGGCCAUUAGCUUUUCCUGUUUUUUUUUUUUCCUUUUUUCUUUUAAGCCUACGUUUUUGAUAAUGCUGGGUUCAUAUUCUAUAUGUUGUCCUAACGUGUUUGUCGCUUGGUCAGUACUCGAUGCUUUAAACAUAAACCCUCCUGUUACUUUUCUCAUCCAAUGACCAGUUUACACACUCCGAUUCUAAGAGUUUAUUGGAUUAUGAUUACAUGUACUGUUUUACUAAAUAAGAAUAUUGUAAGGUAGCACAACGAUUCCCAGGUUUGAGAGUUCUGUAAAGGGUGGGUUGAGUAUUUAAAUUGGAGUUGAUUCUUAUUAACUGCACAGAAAAAUGGGAAGAAAUUUUCUAUGGAAGAAAUGAAGAAUUCUCCUUUUGAUUUGUUCAAAAUAUCAGACUUUAGGUUAUUAAUGAUGGUUAAUGAUGUGCUUCUGUUACACUAAAGAGAUUAAUAAAGUUAAUUUAUACAAAUUAA